CUCAUUACGUGUACCUGUUUUAAUUGCUUGCAUUCAAUUUUAUACAACAUUUAAUGCUACACUCAUGUGUUUAAAAUAUGUUUGUAGGUAUCCAACUACAGAAGAGUAUGUUCAAGUGGCUAAGGCCCUGACUCUGAGGUAUCCCUUUUUAAAAGACAAAGAGGGCAAUGGAUAUCACACUUGGCACAUGUCUCUGAAACGCAAGUUUAAAUUUGAGCAGACACCUUUGGCUGAAGUUGAAGUAGUGAAAAGACUUAAACAGAAAUUUGGUCAUUCAAAAAAGUCUCUGCAACCUGAAGAAAGCAGUUGCAAAGAAAUUACAAGGCCUUUGAUUAAUGCUUUUGGAGAGGAUGCUACAUCAAUAGAGGGACAUGUGAAAGUCCUGCAGGACCAGUAUAGAAGGACACAGCCAGAGACUCACAUUGUUGAAGAUCGAAUGAGGAGGACCUUUGCCUGGAGGCAGCAGGAGAUUACUAGUGCUUUAUCAAGAAAUUGGUUUCCUGUAUAAAUGUGUUCAUCUGAGCCGCCAUUUGCGAGAACAUUUUGGACCCAUUACAUCCAGCGUGCUACGUCUUGCUCAAGGGAAAUCCACUUUAGCAAAGCUGCGUAAAGAAGCUAGAGAAGAAUCUCUCUUUGAAGACCAUCUUGGAAUUGAUUUUAAAGCAGCACUUCUCAUGUUGCCAGCCUUGUUCAGGGAGAAACUUCAA